ACUAGCUUGCUAGUUGCUGACGAGUGGCGGACGGGUGCGUAACGCGUGGAAAUCUACCUAUUAGUUGGGGACAACCUGAGGAAACUCAGGCUAAUACCGAAUGUGGUCUACGGACAAAAGGUUGCCUCUCCUUGGAAGCAAUCGCUAAUAGAUGAGUCCGCGUUGGAUUAGCUAGAUGGUGGGGUAAAGGCCUACCAUGGCGACGAUCCAUAGCUGGUUUGAGAGGAUGAUCAGCCACACUGGGACUGAGACACGGCCCAGACUCC
rnacentral:rRNA from 1 species